rnacentral:rRNA from 1 species
AUACGUAGGUGGCAAGCGUUGUCCGGAAUUAUUGGGCGUAAAGGGCGAGUAGGCGGCCAGUUAUGUCAGAUGUGAAAGGCUAGGGCUUAACCCUAACAUGGCAUUUGAAACUGAUUGGCUUGAGUGUAGGAGAGGGAAGUGGAAUUCCUAAUGUAGCGGUGAAAUGCGUAGAUAUUAGGAGGAACACCAGUGGCGAAGGCGACUUCCUGGCCUACAACUGACGCUGAUGCGCGAAAGCGUGGGGAGCAAACAGGAUUAGAUACCCUGGUAGUCCACGCCGUAAACGAUGGGUGCUAGGUGUGGGAGGUAUCGACCCCUUCCGUGCCAUAGUUAACGCAAUAAGCACCCCGCCUGGGGAGUACGGUCGCAAGACUGAA